GACUGCCUGGCGUAGUUGUUAUGGUGCUUACGCUUAGAAUUGAUUUGAUAUCAAGUGGUCGCAGGUUCGAUCCUUGCGAAGACG